UGCCCAGCAACUCCUAUCCUUACAUCCUCGCGGUACUGCGCUGGGGUACAAGCAAUCAUAGGGAAGACCGGGUAAUCAACCCCGGUGGGAACUUUGGUUGUAUGCUGACAGGGAAGG
rnacentral:ribozyme from 1 species